rnacentral:rRNA from 1 species
CCUACGGGGAGGCAGCAGUGGGGAAUUUUGGACAAUGGGCGCAAGCCUGAUCCAGCAAUGCCGCGUGAGUGAAGAAGGCCUUCGGGUUGUAAAGCUCUUUUGUCAGGGAAGAAACGGUUGGGGCUAAUACCCCCGGCUAAUGACGGUACCUGAAGAAUAAGCACCGGCUAACUACGUGCCAGCAGCCGCGGUAAUACGUAGGGUGCAAGCGUUAAUCGGAAUUACUGGGCGUAAAGCGUGCGCAGGCGGUUUUGUAAGUCUGUCGUGAAAGCCCCGGGCUCAACCUGGGAAUGGCGAUGGAGACUGCAAGGCUAGAAUCUGGCAGAGGGGGGUAGAAUUCCACGUGUAGCAGUGAAAUGCGUAGAGAUGUGGAGGAACACCGAUGGCGAAGGCAGCCCCCUGGGUCAAGAUUGACGCUCAUGCACGAAAGCGUGGGGAGCAAACAGGAUUAGAUACCCUGGUAGUCCACGCCCUAAACGAUGUCUACUAGUUGUCGGGUCUUAAUUGACUUGGUAACGCAGCUAACGCGUGAAGUAGACCG